rnacentral:rRNA from 1 species
AGGCAGCAGUUGGGAAUCUUCCGCAAUGGGCGAAAGUCUGACGGAGCAACGCCGCGUGAGCGAAGAAGGCCUUCGGGUCGUAAAGCUCUGUUGUUAGGGAAGAACAAGUAACGCAGUAACUGGCGUUACCGUGACGGUACCUAACGAGAAAGCCACGGCUAACUACGUGCCAGCAGCCGCGGUAAUACGUAGGUGGCAAGCGUUGUCCGGAAUUAUUGGGCGUAAAGCGCGCGCAGGCGGUUCCUUAAGUCUGAUGUGAAAGCCCACGGCUCAACCGUGGAGGGUCAUUGGAAACUGGGGGACUUGAGUGCAGAAGAGGAGAGCGGAAUUCCACGUGUAGCGGUGAAAUGCGUAGAGAUGUGGAGGAACACCAGUGGCGAAGGCGGCUCUCCGGUCUGUAACUGACGCUGAGGCGCGAAAGCGUGGGGAGCAAACAGGAUUAGAUACCCUAGUAGUCC